CUACGGGUGGCAGCAGUGGGGAAUAUUGGACAAUGGGCGAAAGCCUGAUCCAGCCAUGCCGCGUGUGUGAAGAAGGCCUUCGGGUUGUAAAGCACUUUCAGUGGGGAAGAAAGCCUUGGGGCUAAUACCCUCGAGGAAGGACAUCACCCACAGAAGAAGCACCGGCUAACUCCGUGCCAGCAGCCGCGGUAAUACGGAGGGUGCGAGCGUUAAUCGGAAUUACUGGGCGUAAAGCGCGCGUAGGCGGUCUGAUAAGCCGGUUGUGAAAGCCCCGGGCUCAACCUGGGAACGGCAUCCGGAACUGUCAGGCUAGAGUGCAGGAGAGGAAGGUAGAAUUCCCGGUGUAGCAGUGAAAUGCGUAGAGAUCGGGAGGAAUACCAGUGGCGAAGGCGGCCUUCUGGACCGACACUGACGCUGAGGUGCGAAAGCGUGGGUAGCAAACAGGAUUAGAUACCCCAGUAGUC
rnacentral:rRNA from 1 species